UUACGACCAUAUCACGUUGAAACAUCGGUUCCCGUAUGAUCACCGAAGUUAAGCAACGUCGAGCCUGGUCAAUAGCUAUAUGGGCAACAGCUUCGGAAUAGCAGGUACU